GAGGCUUCUUAGAGAGGGGAGCUUAUUAGAGAGGGGGCUUAUUAGAGAGGGGAGCUUAUUAGAGAGGGGUUUCUUAGAGAGGGGGCUUAUUAGAGAGAGAGAGGCUUAUUAGAGAGAGAGAGGCUUAUUAGAGAGAGAGGCUUAUUAGAGAAAGGGGCUUAUUUAGAGAGGGGGGCUUCUUAGAGGGGAGCUUAUUAGAGAGGGGGCUUAUUAGAAGGGGGCUUAUUAGAGAGGAUUUUUUAGAGAGG